GGUCGGGGGGGUGAAAUCUUGGUGAGUAUCUGCUCAGUGUCAUGGAAAAGAGUGUCAUGAACAACUCAACUUUGUGAUGUGAAACUGUAUCUAAGAAGUGAAGUGAUUACCACACACAGAGGAACAUCACAGGGUGUGUUACUCCUGUGUAAAAGCAGGAAUUGCUGUUGGGAAUGGAGCCAUGGCUCAAGUGGGUCAAUGCUCCCUGAUGGAUCUUCACAAGGGCACGAGGAUGGGAAGUGAAGAGCAAAGCUAUUGUGAAGGUAAAGCUCAGUUUAUGCCAAAAAAAUGAUGUAGGUGACAGGAAAUGAGGUAUUUCCAGUAAGAGUUCAUAAUUUGAUGGGAAAAAGGACUAAUGAUACCCAGUGACUGCAGGAUAUUGAUCUAAAUGAGCUUAGACCAGACCUUUUUUUCACCUGGGGAGGGUUAUUAACCUCACCUCCAGUUUUAAGGCCAGUUACAGUGUUGGAAUGUAAUCCAGUUAAUUUAGGCUCUCUCCAUGCUGCAUGCUCACAGCAGCCACGUUAAACUAUCAGACCAUGUGUGAAUUUGCUUCUGUCCAUACCCCAAGCCUCAUCUUCAUUCUUUUUUUUUCUGCUUCUUUUAAUGUAAAAGUAAACCUGCUGUGUCCCUUGGCAGUAUUCCCACUAACAGAAAUAGUGGAGAACACUGUCUAAAGGAUGCUCUCUCCCCUGAGCACAGGGCCCCAGUGGAAAAGGAUGUUCUCUCAGCCUUUUCUGUCCCUGUGCCAGUGCUGCUCUCCCCGUGAGGGAGCUGGGCAAUCUGUAUUUCUGCUCCUGGGAUCUUUCUCCUGUUUGUCACAGCUGAUGCCAGAUUUUAGUUUCUCCAUGCAAAGAUGAUUCUGGACAUCUCUCAGUGCACCUAAUUGCCUUCAAAAUACCACUGAUGGGUCUGAAAGGAAAAUGGAGGUCACACCAUCUCCAGGUUGGCAACACAGCCUCUUUUUUUUUUUUUAACAGAAGCAUUUUUGGUGGUGCUGUGCUCAUUCACUCCCAGGUGUAUCCACUGCCACAUGAAUAACACUUGGCAGUCUUUUUUCCCCCCGACACAGCUGCUUUCCAUCUGUUGCUGGGUUGGAAAGUGAGUCAGUUUUUGAUGGGAGCUGAAGGCUGGGGCAGCUGAGUUUGUUUGAGUGGCACCUCAGAGUGAACAGAGGGAUGGUACUUGUGUAAUUACAGGUUGUCCUGACGACCUGUCCCUGGCAGCUGCCACAGCUGAGCUGCUCCUGGUUACCUGAGGAAUGUUUCCCUGGCAAAUGGCUUUAGGAGGGUCACAUUGUUGGGGUGUUCCAUUAAGUGCUCGUGUCCUCUCAGGCUGAACAUCCCAUUCAGAGCAGACCCGUGUCUCACGGGGUGAGGUGGUUCCCUGAUGUUAAGAGCUUCCUCCUGGACCUGUAAUGCUGAGCUCAGACCUUCUGCCACUCACAAUGAUGACUGUCCCUCUGGGCAAGAACAUGUGGCCUUUCCACACAGCAGCAGAGCAGCCCAGGUGAUGAAUUCUCACUCCACACCGUUUCCAGGUCCCCAGGAGAAGUGAAUCCCAGAGACUCUCCUGAUGCUAGAAGAGCAAACAAAAGGAGCAGGCAAAGAGGACACAAGCAGUAAGAAAUGCUUGCCAUCUCCUACAUGGACAAGAUUGCAAACCAGGGUGGGGACCUUGAAAGAAAGAAACUGCCUCAUUUGAUCUGCUGAUUACAUCCUGUGCUCCUAAGCCCUGGACAGGGGGAGAGGGG